CGGAGGCAGAUAAGGCGGCAGAGCACGGGGCGAGGCGUUGCUAGGAGAAGUUGCUAGGGCGGGGCUCGAGGGACCGGCUAUAAAAGGCUGGCGCUGGGUUAGGUUUCGAGCUUCCUGGCCGUAAGCGAUAAGGCUUUAACUGAGAACCACCUUGUGCUGUAGGCUUUGGCCCUUUUCCUCACAUCUGUGUAGUUAUUUUUGGGUCGCGGAGAAUUGUGGCCCGAGAAGGCUCUGCUCCUUGAGAGUGUGGGGAGAGAAGCUGCAGUCCCGGAAGCGGUUUUAGGGGGCCGCUUCCUUGGCCUAGAGGAGCUCCCCAACCCGAGGGGGCAAGGGAAACGACCCCCAGGAGGCCCCUAAACAGUGGCCGGCGUGGUUUCUCCUCCAGCUUUACAGAGCCUUCUCUUCCCCUCCAGAAACAGCCAACCUCCGGGUUUCUGCCUGCCACGCACGGUUUAUUCUUAUUUCCGCCUGUUUGUGCACUGCGUUAUCUCCACUUCAGCUCUGUUUUCAAAAUAUUUCACAGCAAGUGGGCUCUUGUGAAAGGCAGUGACAGGAGUGACGUUUAUAGUCAUGCUGCUUCAAAAAACCCUACCAUAACUUUUAUUCUGCACCAUGGAAACACACUCGGACAGAUUUGCAUAACGUAACCUUAAGGCUCAGGGAAUCCGAAAGAGUCCCUUAAUAUUUAACAGAAUGAGAUUAUGGUAUUUCUAAAACCCUGAACAAUUCAAAAGCCACCAGUGUGAAGAUAGGAAGGUUAUUUGGAGAUAUCUGUGCCUGCUAAACACAAAUGCAUCGGCCCACAGAAUUGCCUUCUCUGCUGUUAAAAUGCUUGGCAAAUGGAACUCCUAGCUGAGGGGGUAACAACAAAAAAUUCAGAAAUCGUUUAGCGGUGGCAGUAUGUGCGAAAAUGGAAUUUCAAGGCCUGGGAAGUUAAUAGAUUCAGUGGUCUUUAUUUCACACACGAGGGAAAGUUGGGGAGAGAAAGGGCCUCCAUGGGGAUGCCAGUAGAUAAAUAAAAAUUACAAAAAAAAAAAUAAUAAAGAUAGAUUGUACUGGCCGGGCGCGGUGGCUCAUGCCUGUAAUCCAGCACUUUGGGAGACUGAGGCGGGCGGAUCUCGAGGUCAGGAGUUCGAAACCAGCCUCACCAACAUGGUGAAACCCCAUCUCUACUAAAAAUACAAUAAUUAGCCGGGCGUGGUGGUGCGCGUCUGUAAUCCCAGCU
rnacentral:lncRNA from 10 species